rnacentral:rRNA from 1 species
UACGGAGGGGGCGAGCGUUAUUCGGAAUUAUUGGGCGUAAAGGGCGCGUAGGCGGCUGUACAAGUCAAAGGUGAAAUCCCUCGGCUCAACUGAGGAACUGCCUUUGAAACUGUACGGCUUGAGGCCGGGAGGGGGUAGCGGAAUUCCCAGUGUAGCGGUGAAAUGCGUAGAUACUGGGAGGAACACCAGUGGCGAAGGCGGCUACCUGGACCGGUUCUGACGCUGAUGCGCGAAAGCGUGGGUAGCAAACAGG